UUUCUCGGGUUUCUCUUCAUAACGCACAAGUCUUUCGCCUUUUACUAAAGACUUCCGUGGAGAGGAACACCAAUGAGUUAAACAUAUUUUUGGCGGGCUACGAAGUCU
rnacentral:snRNA from 15 species